rnacentral:snRNA from 1 species
CGUCAACCGGUGUUAACCAA